GGCAUCUGAAGGCAGAUUGACUCCUUGAACUGAGCAGCCACUGUGAUCCUUAGGCCCAAAAGGGAUAUAGAUUGGAGACCAAGUGGUGAGUGUGAAUAAUAAUAAGAGGCAGGUCCUUAUUUUUAUUCCAAGCUAGUGAACUUGGUCAUAUAAGUUACACUAACCUAAAGGAUGGGAAACCAUCAAAAGCAUUUAGGCAAGAAAAUGUCAAUAUCAGAGAUAUGUUUUAAAACAUUACUUUGAACACUGUGUGAGGAAGGGAUUAAAGGCGAGAAAGAGAGCAAAGCCAGAGAGAUGAAUUAGGAGGUUAUGUUAGUUAGAAAUGCUUUCAGCUUCAAGUAAGAGAAUACCCAAAUACCUUAAACCCUGUAGCAACAUUUAUGGUUUACCAACAGGAAAUCGGGAAACAAUGCCUCCUCAGGAACAGUUUGGGAGCUCUGUGAUUUCAUUAAAAACCCGAGCUUUCUCCAUCCUUCUCCAUCACCAUCUUCCAUGUGUUGGCUUUUUCUUCUCUCCUGUCGUCUCCUGGUUGCAAGAUGGCUGCCUUAGCUUUCAGACACAAUAAUCUGAUUCAAGGCAGGAGGAAGGGGGAAGGGACAGCGAUAGCUACCAUCUGUUCCAUUUCUCUAGAAAGCAAAACUUUCCCAAAAGCCCAUCACAGAUGUCUUUUUACAUCUCAUUGGUCAGAACCAGGUCACAUUGCCCCUCUAACUGCAAGGAAGGCUAGAAAUUUGAUCAGGCUUCUUCAUUAUGAUUCAGUACCUGGAGCUGGACACAUUGUUGCCUGGAGCAAAACUGGAGUUCUGAUAGCCAGGUAAAAAGAGAAAUGACUUUGGGGUAGGAAAUCAACAGUGAUGGUCACAGAGGCCAGGGAAGAUGGCCCUGACUAAGAUGCUGGCAUUGGACACAGAGAUAUUUAAGAGGUGGAAGUUACAGAACUUGGUGAUGGGAUGUGAGGAAUGAAGGAGGGGAAGGAGAAAAGGAUGAUUUCCAGGUUUGAGCUUGGGCAGCCAACAGAUUGUGAUGUCAUCUACUACAACAGAAAAUAUGAAGAAGAAACACAGGUGUGAGGAAGAUGAAAAGUCCACUUUUAAACAUUAGAUCCAGCAGUUAUCUUGCAACCAUGAGGAGAAUGGCCACACACUAAGGAGGAUGGAACAGGAAGGUAGAAAGAACCCGGUACCUUGAUGCCCUUGAGCAGCUGCACCUGCCCUGGCGUGCCUACCCUCAGACUUCCUGUUGCAUUGGAAGAAAGGAAGGGAGGGAGGGAGGAAGGAAGAAAACAACUGUCUCAGUUAAGCUAUGGCCUGUAAGGGUUCUGUUACUCGUAAGCAGGAGCCUGGCUUGUGCACCCCCGGGGCCUGCGGGGCCUCCCUUCCUUCCCAGGUGCCCUCCCCUGACAGCUGUGGGUAUCAGCCUCCUGUCGAAGUUUGGCACGAAAGCAGGUUUUGCGUUAGAAGUCUCAGAGGAGCCUCUUUUUGGGAAGGAGUAGUGAAGACAAGAGAGAACAGAGAGACACACGGAGUAGCAGAAGGAGCAGCUGGCUGGGGUUGAUUGAUCUGGUCCUGGCCCUCAGCCUGCCACUAACCAGCUCUGUGACCUCUCUGGGCCUCAGUCUACAGAACAAAGGAUUUGAGCUGGAGCAGUGUUUCUCAACUUCAUAACCAUCAAAAAGAAGGACCUCGUAUUUCUUUUAAGAUUUUUCUCUGCCAGACUGCAUUUAUCAAAUAAUUCAUAUUUCCAUGAGAAUACUGUGUUGAUACAAUUCCGGCCAAAAGCAAAGAAAAAUAACUUUUUAAUUUAGCCUUGUUAGUCUUACCAUAGGAUGAAACUUCCAUUAGUUCUUUGGAAAAAUUGGAAAUGUUUCUCGGGUCCACAUGAUUAUCUUGAGGACUUGUUGUGCCCUAGGGCUUUCCUACAAGAGUGCUGGCCUAGGAGUUCACUGGGGUCCAGUUCUGCUUUCCGUGAUGCCGGAGCCUGUGCCCCUUAGGAGCCAGUGGAGGUGCAUUUUCCCUCCUGCCCCCAGGCCCAGUGCCAAUUCCCAGUGCCAGGAGCUCGCUUCCCUCGUGAAAAACAAGCCUGUCGGAAUGGCACCUUCCUGCUGACCUGAGGGCACCUCAUUCACCCUCCUGCCUGCUAUCCCUCCUCACAGGCCCUUUCCCCCAUCCCACCUCCCCCCCAUCCCAGGAGGGAGUUGUCUCACCUAAGCCUUCAUCUCCAUGAGCCUGCUCUGCGGCCUUCUGACCUGAGAGACCUGGAGACGCUUUCAGCCAGUCAGAGGAGGAAGCCUGGUCAUCUCCCUCAGGCAGCUCCAUCGCCUGGUGAAGAGGGAAGGGCAGAGGCUCCCAACCCAGCUGAUAAAUGCUGUCACAGAGGGUCCAAUCUGCUGCUGGAGCCCUGAACGGUCAGCUCUGCUUGGAAGUGCGAAAGGUCAGAGAGAGGAGGGAAGAUCUGAGUCAGGGCCUGAAGGAUGAAGGGAGAAGCCUUUGAAGACCAGAGCCCCAGGAAGGUCAGCUGGGCUAGGAAGGGCAGGGCUUCAUGCUGGUUAGCAACUCAUUUGCCUGAUAACUUUAUUUAAGGCCUCUCUCCCUCCUUCUUCCAUCCUCCCACCAAUAUUUAUUGAGCAUCUUUUUUGUGCCAGUACCAUGUUAGGUGAUAGAAAUAAAUUCAUAUUCAUAUUUCAUAUCACAGGGCGUGCACUGUCCUGAAGGAGCUCACAGAUUAGUGGAGAGAGAAACAUGGAGAACUUGUAGCCUCUGGUCCUGCAUUAGGGGAAGCACCUUCAAGGAGACACACCCUAGACUCCAGAGCAGCAGCUGACAACCCCUGAUGACACGAGGCAGCGUGCCACCAAACCACAGAGCAGCCUCAAUAGGUCCUAGCCCCAGGCCCCUCUUAUAUCUGACGUUUGCCCCGUCUUGGUUGAAGAGCAGCCCUGAGUCUUCUGUCCGCUCUGGAAGCUGUGGAAUUUUCCCGCCUGGAGGCUGGAGACUGGAGCAGGUGACCUCUUAUGCUCCACGCAUCUGUAGUGGGAGGAGGGCUCUGAGGAAGCCUCUGAGCCUGCCCUUCCGUUCAGGCGGCAGCGUGCAGGGCAGAGGGGGAGGAGCCUCCCGAGAACAGGCUACAUCUGCUCUCCUAAUCCUGCUCCUGAGGAGGCGUGACAGGACAGUCCCCCCUCAGGGCCUCGCUGCCCUGCCACAGUCCAGGCCUGGACAGAGGAUGAGGACUGUGUGCAUCACAAAGCAAUCCUCAGAGGUGCUACAGUCCUGGGAUAUCCUGGAGGAGAGAGGCCAGUGCAUUACACAAAUAUAAAGGGUUUAUCUUUUUCUUCUUCUCUAUCCUCUGUUUCAGCCCUUCUCCUGCCCCGCCCAUGCUCUCCAAGCCAAACCAGCAAAUUGGCAGAGAAAACUAACCAAGAUCUAUUUGAGGAAUGGGAAACUUGGGAAAGAAGAUGCUUCUAGAAUUUCUUCCCCAUGCUCUAGUCUGGGCAGGUUGCUCCCGGGAGGGUUGGGCUGUGGGUUGCCACUGUUAGAAUCUAAUAGGAGCUGCCUUCCUCUCGCUCCCGGCCCUGCCUAGUUAUUUGCAAGCCUGCUUGUUAGGGAAAUUCAAUUCCCCCUGGAACCCACCACCUGGAAAAACACCUCGCAGCACACAUAGUGAACAACGAGUGCAUUAACGGGGGAGGAGGAGACGGUGGCAGGCACUGGACCAAGGCGCCAUCAGUUCUGGAGGCUAGUGAAGUCUUCCAGCUGAACCGAAGCAUGUUGUUGUGCCUGGCCGGGAGGACAGCCGCACUCGCCUGGCGUCUGAAUGUGCCCCUCCACUCCCCGCUCUCCAGAGUCCGGGGGCACCGUGGAAUGAAUGCGCCAUUGCUUCACCAGGCUUCCAGGUUUGGCUCUCUUUGCAGGCCUUUGCUAAGUGCCAGGGUCGCCUUCAAGUUCAGCUCCCUCCGUGAACAGAGCCCAGUAGGUGCUUGGAGAGCAGGGGGAGAAGGAUGAGAACUCCCAGGAUACACAGGCUCUGUCCGGGGAGCUCUCAGCCUGAUGGAGACCCACCUGCCCUCAGGAAGUAAAGGCAGAGAGAGUCCCACAGGAGGGAGGCUCUGUAUUGCACGCAGUCGAGCAUGAACAUCAAAGCCAUCCCCGUCUGCUGUGAGGAGACCACCUCCAAGGUGAGGAAACUAAGGCACAGAAAAGCUGAGUAACUUGCCCAAGGCUCCACGGUCAUUAAGGGGUCGAGCCAGAUUUUAAACCAGAGUCUGUACUCUCAGGCACCUCCAUAAGAGACCAGGAUGUGGAAGCUUCUGGGAGUCCUUCUCUGGAUCCACAGAAGGCGUGCUCUCUAAGCAGGCUACUUCCUGGGGAGGCUCAGAGGAGGGAGCCAGCCAGGGACAGGGGAGAGAACGUGGACCUCCAACACCAAGGACAAACGUCUGCGUCUGCGAGAGAUGACUUGUGACCCCGGACAAGUAAUCUCUGUAUCCUAGUCUCGGCUUCCCAUCCUGAGGGUGAGGGCCCGCGCUGGCUGCUCUCAGAAGCCUUUUCCCCUCCAAGCAUACAAUGUUGAGUUGGGAACCUGCUUCCCUCCUAUGCCGAGGCCUUCGUGUUCCUACGUUCUAUUUUGGGCCUUCUCUCUAGGGGGUCCCCCUUCCUGCAGCCCGCUAAGGAUUGAGGGCAGAGCCUGGAAUUAUGACAACACCUUCUCUAAGUGGAUGUGAUCAAUUAAUUAACCAAUAAAU
ensembl:lncRNA